rnacentral:rRNA from 1 species
AUUGAACGCUGGCGGCAGGCUUAACACAUGCAAGUCGAGCGGAGUGAUGGUGCUUGCACUAUGACUUAGCGGCGGACGGGUGAGUAAUGCUUAGGAAUCUGCCAUAUAGUGGGGGACAACAUUCCGAAAGGAAUGCUAAUACCGCAUACGUCCUACGGGAGAAAGCAGGGGAUCUUCGGACCUUGCGCUAAAUGAUGAGCCCAAGUCGGAUUAGCUAGUUGGUGGGGUAAAGGCCUACCAAGGCGACGAUCUGUAGCGGGUCUGAGAGGAUGAUCCGCCACACUGGGACUGAGACACGGCCCAGACUCCUACGGGAGGCAGCAGUGGGGAAUAUUGGACAAUGGGCGGAAGCCUGAUCCAGCCAUGCCGCGUGUGUGAAGAAGGCCUUUUGGUUGUAAAGCACUUUAAGCGAGGAGGAGGCUACUAGUACUAAUACUACUGGAUAGUGGACGUUACUCGCAGAAUAAGCACCGGCUAACUCUGUGCCAGCAGCCGCGGUAACAC